UUCUUGCCUCUUCUUCUUGAGAGAAUAUGUUGGGAGCGGCCGGAGGAGAUGUAUGUGCAUCUAGGGUUUGUUUUUGGCUAGGUGUGUACGCGCGAUGGGAUGGGUGUCCGGCGGAGGGAAGUUUUUUAUUUUUUGUGUGCGGUUAGAUGCAUGGGUUUGAUGGAAUUUUUGCAUUCUGGAUAUGUCACUCGAGGGGGUCAGUGUUUUUAUUGAUUUUUUUUUGGGUGAAUGCCUUGCAUAUUUGCUCUAGUUCACUGUCCACAAACUUUAUUUUGCACUAUUAAAACAGGCACAAUCCUUUUGUGUUAAUGAAGGCGUAAGUCACCAUCAAAGCCAAUUUUGCAAUUUUAUGGUGCAAAAUCCCCCUUGCAGCAUGGGCAGAGCCAGGCUAAUGCCUUCUUGGCAAGUUUGUUUCUACUAGUACUUAGCACUUCUUGGUAUACAUGUGUAUGAGUGAUAUGUGUAUUUCGAUUUCUUUUGUAUGUCGUAUUAGUAUAAUAUUAGCUCUUUUUUCAAUUCCAACUUUAUUUUACACGCAUGGCUUAUUAUUAUUUUUGUCAUCCUAUAAUUCCAUUGUGGCUUACUUUUAGGAUCUGCAUGUAAUUAAGUUUCGUUGGCAAGACUAUCUUCAGAGUUCUCGACAUUUUCACUAUACCAAAGGAAAUUCUGAUAAUGAUUUUUUGAAAUUUAUGUGUCUAGCUAUUCGAUCGUGUACCUACGUAUAGUCGCACAACUCAAUCUAGAUAUGGAUGCAGCCGAGAUGUAUUGAGCCAGAACUCAAUACGACCAAUUUUUUGUCAUUCCAUUAUGUAUAUGCCUGCCGCGUCUCCUCGCCUUCAUUGGGACCUUGCCAAGUGUGUGGGAAGCUAAGCGGGCCAUGUAAGAUAAAAGGAAAGGACAAGCGUUUUUUUUGCAUCAAUUCCAUCAAGUUAUUCGUAGAUCAUGUGUUCAACAAGUUCAGCUCCAACACGGUAACUCUCCAAACUUGUGAACUGUAUCUAUACGUGGUCAAAGUUGAGGUGCGGGGACACUACUACUGUGUUAUAUAUAUGGAUCAAAGUGGCUAAAGUUUGUUGUUGACUACGGUCUAGAAUUGGCGACACCUUGAUGUUCACCUUCCCCAACAAUGAUGAGCACACUUCCGUAGUUCAAUGGACUCAAAUGAAUGCUCAGCAUAAGAUGCAUAUUGACAACUCCAGUUGUAAUUUCUAUUUUUUCUAAUUUUUCUUCUUGCGUAACCGCCAUAUCUGUAUUUUUUUGGCAAUCUCUUUUGACGUUUUCAAUCGCGAUAUUGAUUACAAGUUGGGAAAUGUUAUCUACACAAAUGGGGUAUCUUUGUGGGAUGAGGAAAAGGUUAGCCUAUGCCGCCAUAUUGCGUACUAUGGUAUUGGAGCAGCAACAUUCUUUGUGCAUCGAGUAUCUCAGACCAAUAUGAAGGAUUACCGGAAUCAAUCGCAAACACCCUUAGGGAACCAAACAGAGGCGACAUGUCCAUUUAUGCUAGAGAGCCGGAUGUGCCAGAGGUGGCAAGGUUAAUUCAGUUUGCAUCGAUACGGAUGGUCGUUUGGCUUCAUUAGUUUUUUUUAGAGUGAGUUGCACAUUAAGGCACUUGAUGUGCAACUGUUUUUUUUCUUGUAAGUUGCACAUCAUCUCUCCUGAUGUGCAAUUUAGUUGUUUUAGGAGAUGAAUUGCACAUUAAGACUCGUGAUGUGCAACUGAGUUUUUUAAAAAAAUUUAGUUCAGUUGAUCUCUCACGUUGUGGAAUUUAGUUGUUUUAGCGGAUGAGUUGCACAUUAAGACUCGUGAUGUGCAACUGAGUUUUUUUAAAUUUAGUUGCGCAUAAUCUCUCAUGAUGUACAAUUUAGUUGUUUUAGGAGAUGAGUUGCACAAUAAGACUAGUGAUGUGCAAUUGAUUUUUUAGUGGCGCAUGAUCUCUCAUGCUGAGCAAUUUA